AGAGAAAGAGGAACCAGAAGAAAGAGAAACUCGCGACAACAGAGUUGCCGAAAGAGAAGUGUUGGCGCCUCAAACUUGAGGAUCAGCUUCUUGGGCCCCACUCCAGGGUGUCGCGGGGGUCGGGUUCUUUCCGCCGCCCCCCGAAAGAUUCUCAGCUAACCCUUUCCCCGCCGAGACCAAGAGGCCCUCACUCUGACACCACUCCGGGAGCCAAGCUACUGUAAGGAGCUGAUACCACCCCUCGCCGGCGCGAACCGCCCAUCUCCCCAGACCCGCCCACCCCCUGCUGCGAAUCCCUGACGUUCUAGCCCGGCGAAGGUCCUCUUAAAUUAGGAAACAAUAGCUAUUUAAGAAGAAGCGCAAAUAACCCGCGCUCUGCGCGCCCAAUCGUGGGAUUCUUGGGAGUUCCCCGCGGGCAAGGAAGUCUGCUGCUCCCCGCAGCUGCGGAGGAGAGGAGGGAGCCUGCGUGCUGGGGCAGGGUGUCGCGAACUUGGGGCAACCCACCUCCAGAGCCCCGCCCCCGCUUUCCCGCCUGCCGGGGACCUGCCGAACGCGGAACCACCCUCCUUCCUGAGGCAAAUUUGGGAGGGGAGAGGUCCAGAAGCUGUAGAGUCGGGGCGCCAAGCGCCAGAUUCUGCCGCUCGGAAGUUGGGGGCAGUCCCCAGUCCCGCCUCAGGCCCCCGCGCUCACAGGGCGCUCCGCCGAGGGCGCGGGCCAGGCGCGCGGUGUCACCUCCACGAAGUCAUUUACUUGCCCUGAAGGAGCUGGCCCUCGACCCCUUGGAGGAUGGAGAUUCCUCCCAUUCCCUCCUCCGCCUCCCCCAGGUCGGCGAAGAGACGUGGAAUUGAGCUGGACCGAUGAUUCCGCGAGCUCUGUAAUUAUGCACACACUGAAAUCUUCACCGUUGACUUAAGUUACUUGGCGCUGCGAGGGCUGGGGCCCUGCAUAUUGAUUAAAUGCAGCCUCUAUUUACCUAAACAAUAAAUGUAGAGAUUAGCAACGUUCACUUGAUCACAAUAAUGGGAUUGACAAUUAAGGGGCAAUGCAUCCCAGAUGUAGCGGAACCUAUGGGCUGCGUGCAGCAGGCAGAGGGCUUCUCAGAGAGGGGCGCUGGGCAGUUGCGGCGGCGGAGGUAGUGCAGAGCAGGAAGCAGCGCGGAAGCACAGCGGGAGGCGGAGGGGGACGCCCAGCCUCGUCAAGGUCUUCGGCCACCCCGCCCGGGAGGCUCGAAACUGGCUUUGGGGUACCUGAAUGCCUCGACUCCCAGGGAGACAUCGGGAGCUCGGAGCCACUCUCCCUGUGGCGAUGGCACCUGCCUCAAGGCCGUCUCGCUUGCUGAUGCCUGGCCGGGAAGGAGGAUGGACGCCGCUGGCAUGUGCCCUGGCUCUGGAAAAACUGGCAGGAAUUUCCUUGUCGUGAGAAGAUGGACGAGUGUGUCUGCAGCCGAGGAGACAACUACAAACAGACUUUGGGCAGGGAAGGCGGGCGGGCGGGGGUGGGGGUGGGGGCGGGGGCCUGCUUUGAUCGCUCCAGCUCUGUUGUAAUUUUGUCUUCGCCAGAUAGAUUAGCUGGAACCGCCAGCCCUAGCUUGGAGUUCCGUUCCACGGAGUACCCUCCCUCCCCACCCCCAGCGUCAUCUCGCGCCUGGAGCCGGGUCGCCGCUCCUUCCGAAGUCUCGCUGGAAACUUCAAGGGCUGAUGGUUCUGUGUUCUUGACGUAAUUAGGAGGCCACGCAGCUCUCCAACACUCCGUUAAACAAAUAUGUCUUUCUUAGGAAGCGGAGAGAGGGGCAGAAAACGUGCACCUCGCCACCCACCGGACAAGCCGAGAGGACCUUGUCUUUGCUUGAAAAGUUUUCUAGAUAAAUCGCUCGGGUGGUUCUAAGCUAUGACGAACUAGAGGCUGGGCCCGGUUCUUCUCCAGAACAGCGUGUGGAUGUAAAGGAGAUGAAAUCGUCCUCCCCCACUGCUUUCUUUUUCUUCCCCAUAUAAAUCAGUCAUAUAAUUCAUUCGCAUUGUUUAAGGUACAUUGAUCAAUCUAAUGGCUUGUAAUAGUCUCCUAAUUGCCACUUGCAGACUCCUGCAGGCUCAGAUUUGAAGAGGGAAGGUUCCAGCCAAGUCCACCUUAAGCCUGAGUUUGGGCGACUACAGAAUCCAGGAAGAAAAUCUAGAUGGCAUGGUCGCUCCGGUCUCAGUUCUACAGGGGAGGGAAGAAAGGGGGUGUUAGUGGGGAUAUUUGCUGUUCAUUUUUCCCGCAAUCUCCCUUCCAAAUCAGUCACUGAUUAAUGAGCAAAGCCCAUGCCACAAGUUAUAGAUUACUGUGGACUGAGGAUCAUUUUGUUAAUAUCAGGCAAGAAACUUGCCUUACUUGCAUCCCUGUGUCUGUAUUUACAGUAACAACUUCCUUAGUCACAAACUGAUAUGCUUUUAGCCAUACCUUUUCUUCUUACUUACUUAUUUUUAGCAUCAUCAGGAGUUGGGAUAGGAAAUAACAUGGGGGAGGGGUGUGUUAAAGGGAAGGAAGGAAAAGCCAUCCUUUAUCCCAGAGUGUCCUGGAGGUAUGCCUACACUCCUGUUUAACAUCUUGUGGUUGUAGUGCCUUCUCCAAGCCCUGGAUGGAGGAGGAAAGAGUUGGAAGCCUCCUCAAAUCUGCCUAUGAAAGGGUAAAACUGAGGAAACUGGUACCCUAGCUAUGAGAAGCUGAGUAAUGAUCAGAAUCCUCUGGCCUCUGGCUUUUCUUGAUAUUAGUUCAGGUCUAUGCAAAAAAAUUGCUUUAGUGUCUCCAAAGGUGGUUCCAUUAGAGUUGGCUGAGACAAUACAUGUGCAUCAUUUUGGAAGAGAUGCUCUUAAAAAGAAGAAAGCCACUACAGAAUGCCACAUUUGCUUAGGUCUAAGACCCUUCUGUGGUAGUCGGUGAGGGAGGGAGGAAAGUAAAACCCCAAGCUGAAUAGGCCCCCCAUAGUUUCCGAGUGAUGCAGUAAACAAAUCUAUGAUGCUUGUUGAAUAAUCUUCCAAUAAUUGCAGUCAUUAAAAUCAUCACACAGUCUACAGUCACCUUCCUUCCUUUGACACACCAGUCUUUCCCUUAAUUGUUAAUGCAUUUUUGGCUCAGAUAAACACAUAGAGGCCAGCUUAAAAUAUAUGGCCCAGAUACAUCUAACAGCAGAAAAUUAGUUGUGUAACAAACGUUUGGACUGUGCUUAAUAGACUAGGGGUUUUCAAUUUCUUCAGCAGACCCUACAGAGGCAAGAAAGAUUUGCAUCUUCUACCACUGCUAAAUAGCAGUGACGCCUCUGAGAUACAAAAAAAAAAAAAAAAGAAAAAAAAGAUGAAAGUCCCAUUGGCCUAUUGAAUCUUCCUUGCUCUUUCAUUUGCAAGGGUUGGGCUGGAAUUAGGACAUUAUAGAACAAAUAUUAAAGGAAAGCUUAACAGAAAC
rnacentral:lncRNA from 1 species